rnacentral:rRNA from 1 species
UGCAAGUCGAGCGGUAGAGAGAAGCUUGCUUCUCUUGAGAGCGGCGGACGGGUGAGUAAUGCCUAGGAAUCUGCCUGGUAGUGGGGGAUAACGUUCGGAAACGGACGCUAAUACCGCAUACGUCCUACGGGAGAAAGCAGGGGACCUUCGGGCCUUGCGCUAUCAGAUGAGCCUAGGUCGGAUUAGCUAGUUGGUGAGGUAAUGGCUCACCAAGGCGACGAUCCGUAACUGGUCUGAGAGGAUGAUCAGUCACACUGGAACUGAGACACGGUCCAGACUCCUACGGGAGGCAGCAGUGGGGAAUAUUGGACAAUGGGCGAAAGCCUGAUCCAGCCAUGCCGCGUGUGUGAAGAAGGUCUUCGGAUUGUAAAGCACUUUAAGUUGGGAGGAAGGGCAGUUACCUAAUACGUGAUUGUUUUGACGUUACCGACAGAAUAA